rnacentral:rRNA from 1 species
UACGUAGGGUGCGAGCGUUAAUCGGAAUUACUGGGCGUAAAGUGUGCGCAGGCGGCAGAGCAAGUCGAGUGUGAAAUCCCCGGGCUUAACCUGGGAACUGCAUUGGUGACUGCAUUGCUGGAGUAUGGCAGAGGGGGGUGGAAUUCCACGUGUAGCAGUGAAAUGCGUAGAGAUGUGGAGGAACACCGAUGGCGAAGGCAGCCCCCUGGGCCAAUACUGACGCUCAUGCACGAAAGCGUGGGGAGCAAACAGG